rnacentral:snoRNA from 1 species
AUAUAUUGCGAUGAGGAUAAUAAGCUCCCUCUUCUGAAUAUUGUGAGGACACUUUGCGGCAGAAUCGAACCAAUUACAUAAUUGCCACCACUGAGUUA